AGUUUGAUGCCUGACAAAAAGGACUACCUUGAUGAGGUAGAUAAUGCAAAUUAUUUGCUCAAACUA
rnacentral:tRNA from 1 species